CACGUAGGGGGCGAGCGUUGUCCGGAAUUACUGGGCGUAAAGGGCGCGCAGGCGGCCUGCCAAGUCAGAUGUGAAAUGCCAUGGCUUAACCAUAGACGUGCAUUUGAAACUGGUGGGCUUGAGUACCAGAGGGGAAGGUGGAAUUCCCGGUGUAGAGGUGAAAUUCGUAGAUAUCGGGAGGAAUACCGGUGGCGAAGGCGACUUUCUGGCUGGAUACUGACGCUGAGGCGCGAAAGCGUGGGGAGCAAACAGGAUUAGAUACCCCCGUAGUCCCUGA
rnacentral:rRNA from 1 species